rnacentral:rRNA from 1 species
CCUACGGGUGGCAGCAGUGAGGAAUAUUGGUCAAUGGCCGUAAGGCUGAACCAGCCAAGUAGCGUGAAGGAAGACUGCCCUAUGGGUUGUAAACCUCUUUUAUGCGGGGAUAAAGGUGUCCACGUGUGGAUGUUUGCAGGUACCGCAUGAAUAAGGACCGGCUAAUUCCGUGCCAGCAGCCGCGGUAAUACGGAAGGUCCGGGCGUUAUCCGGAUUUAUUGGGUUUAAAGGGAGCGUAGGCGGGUCGUUAAGCGUGCCGUGAAAUUUUGUGGCUCAACCAUGAGAGUGCGGCGCGAACUGGCUGCCUUGAGUGCGCGGAAGGCAGGCGGAAUUCGUGGUGUAGCGGUGAAAUGCUUAGAUAUCACGAAGAACCCCGAUUGCGAAGGCAGCUUGCCGCAGCGUUACUGACGCUGAAGCUCGAAAGCGCGGGUAUCGAACAGGAUUAGAUACCCCAGUAGUC